rnacentral:rRNA from 1 species
UCUGGUUGAUCCUGCCAGAGGUCACUGCUAUCAGUAUUCGACUAAGCCAUGCGAGUCAAAUGUUCUUCGUGAACAUGGCGUACUGCUCAGUAACACGUGGAUAAUCUGCCCUAAGGUCAGGCAUAACUCCGGGAAACUGGUGAUAAUACCUGAUAUAUCGUAGACACUGGAAUGUUCUGUGAUCAAAAGCUCCGGUGCCUUAGGAUGAAUCUGCGGCCUAUCAGGUUGUAGUGGGUGUAAUGUACCUACUAGCCGACGACGGGUACGGGUUGUGAGAGCAAGAGCCCGGAGAUGGAUUCUGAGACAUGAAUCCAGGCCCUACGGGGCGCAGCAGGCGCGAAAUCUUUACAAUGCGGGGAACCGCGAUAAGGGGAUACUGAGUGCCAGCAUAUUAUGUUGGCUGUCCACCUGUAUAAAUAGCAGGUGUUAGCAAGGGCCGGGCAAGACCGGUGCCAGCCGCCGCGGUAACACCGGCGGCCCGAGUGGUGGCCACUAUUAUUGGGUCUAAAGGGUCCGUAGCCGGUUCGAUCAGUCUUCCGGGAAAUCUGACAGCUCAACUGUUAGGCUUCCGGGGGAUACUGUCGGACUUGGGACCGGGAGAGGUAAGAGGUACUACAGGGGUAGGAGUGAAAUCUUGUAAUCCUUGUGGGACCACCAGUGGCGAAGGCGUCUUACCAGAACGGGUCCGACGGUGAGGGACGAAAGCUGGGGGCACGAACCGGAUUAGAUACCCGGGUAGUCCCAGCUGUAAACGAUGCUCGCUAGGUGCCUGGGACGGUGCGACCGUUUCAGUGCCGCAGGAAGCCGUGAAGCGAGUCACCUGGGAAGUACGCCGCAGGCUGAACUUAAAGGAAUUGGCGGGGGAGCACAA